AGACCUUUAGUUUGAACCCCGAAACCAGGUGAGCUACCCCGAGACAGCCUAUAUUGAUUUAGGGCUAACCCGUCUCUGUGGCAAAAGAGUGGGAAGAGCUCCGGGUAGAAGUGACAGACCUACCGAACCUGGUGAUAGCUGGUUGCCUGAGAAGUGGAUAGAAGUUCAGCCUCGCACACCCCAAGCCAGAGAAUACACCGCUAAGGCACUCAGGGAAAUGUGGGAGAGUUAGUUAAAGGGGGUACAGCCCCUUUAACAAAGGAUACAACCUUUGCAGGAGGAUAAAGAUCAUAAUAUAUAAAACAUGCUGCUCUAGUGGGCCUAAAGGCAGCCACCUAAACAGAAAGCGUUAAAGCUCAGGCAGAAAGAAGUUUAUUAUACCGAUAAAAAAUCUUACUCCCCUAAUUAUAUCAGGCCAACCCAUGCCAACAUGGAAGAGAUUAUGCUAAAAUGAGUAACAAGAAGACCUGCUCUUCUCCCAGCACAAGUGUAAGCCAGAUCGGACUAACCACUGGAACUUAACGAACCCAACCCAAGAGGGUAGUGUGAAUAGUACAGACCCCAAGAAGAACUCACAACUAAACAAUCGUUAACCCCACACUGGAGUGCUAUUAUAAAGGAAAGACUAAAAAAGGGGGAAGGAACUCGGCAAACACAAGCCUCGCCUGUUUACCAAAAACAUCGCCUCCUGCAACUAUAUUGAGUAUAGGAGGUCCAGCCUGCCCAGUGACUACGGGUUCAACGGCCGCGGUAUUUUGACCGUGCAAAGGUAGCGCAAUCACUUGUCUCUUAAAUAGAGACCUGUAUGAAUGGCUAGACGAGGGCUUAACUGUCUCCCCCCUCCAGUCAGUGAAAUUGAUCUAUCCGUGCAGAAGCGGGUAUAAUUAUACAAGACGAGAAGACCCUUUGGAGCUUAAGGUACAAAAUCCAACCACGUUAAACGACCCCCUAAAGGGCAAGAACUUAGUGGCCAAUGAAGUUUUACCUUCGGUUGGGGCGACCACGGAGGAGAAAGAAGCCUCCGAGUGGACUGGGUUAAAACCCAAAGCUAAGAGAUACAUCUCUAAGCCGCAGAACAUCUGACCAAAAGUGAUCCGGCUAAAAAGCCGAUCAACGAACCAAGUUACCCUAGGGAUAACAGCGCAAUCCUCUCCCAGAGUCCAUAUCGACGAGGGGGUUUACGACCUCGAUGUUGGAUCAGGACAUCCUAAUGGUGCAGCCGCUAUUAAGGGU
rnacentral:rRNA from 1 species